rnacentral:tRNA from 1 species
UUAAUAAAGAUUAAUCUUUUUUUAGAAA